CAAAUUCACAAUUAAGAAAUACACAUAUAACUCAUUUAAUCACCCAAUUCUUUAUAGCACCAUCAAACAUACCAAAAUUCGGUUUCAGCAUGCUCAGACAUGCUCACAUUCACUAUCAAUUUCUAACUACAACAAUUCUCAUUAAUUGGUCAUGUAUAGCAUUUAUAAAUUAUUUGUAAUUAUUUAGUAAGCAUUUUGGAAUUCUUAAAUUAAAAACUCUUAAUUUUAAAAUGAACCCCCUACCUCGAUGUCGCUAUUAAAAGAAAUCGGAGGCAAAAUUACAGUGAGACAGUUGGCUGGACCACUACUAGCCACGCAACAACUUUAGUCAAGAUAGUAGCAGCAUUGCACCCCAACACAACUGGGACAACCACAACAUUAAGCCCUACAAUAGUGAUCAAGUUUGUAGCAAAAUGGAGAAUUCGAAUCCAAUGGAAUUGAAAAUAGAAACAACUCU